CUACGUGCCAGCAGCCGCGGUCAUACGUAGGGUGCAAGCAUUAUCCGGAGUGACUGGGCGUAAAGAGUUGCGUAGGCGGUUUAAUAAGUGAAUAGUGAAACCUGGUGGCUCAACCAUACAGACUAUUAUUCAAACUGUUAAACUCGAGAAUGGUAGAGGUAACUGGAAUUUCUAGUGUAGGAGUGAAAUCCGUAGAUAUUAGAAGGAACACCGAUGGCGUAGGCAGGUUACUGGGCCAUUUCUGACGCUAAGGCACGAAAGCGUGGGGAGCGAACCGGAUUAGAUACCCGGGUAGUCCACGCCGUAAACGAUGGAUACUAGCUGUUGGAGGUAUCGACCCCUUCAGUAGCGAAGCUAACGCGUUAAGUAUCCCGCCUGUGGAGUACGGCCGCAAGGCUAAAACAUAAAGGAAUUGACGGGGACCCGCACAAGCGGUGGAGCAUGUGGUUUAAUUCGAAGCAACGCGAAGAACCUUACCAAAUCUUGACAUACUCUUGAAUAGUUUU
rnacentral:rRNA from 1 species